UACGUAGGUGGCAGGCGUUGUCCGGAUUUACUGGGCGUAAAGAGCGCGCAGGCGGUCGUUCAAGUCGCGUGUGAAAGCCCCCGGCUCAACUGGGGAGGGUCACGCGAUACUGAUCGACUCGAAGGCAGGAGAGGGUAGUGGAAUUCCCGGUGUAGUGGUGAAAUGCGUAGAUAUCGGGAGGAACACCAGUGGCGAAGGCGACUACCUGGCCUGUUCUUGACGCUGAGGCGCGAAGGCUAGGGGAGCAAACGGG
rnacentral:rRNA from 1 species